UAGUUCUGUUAGUUGUACUUUUUAUAAUUGACUAGUGAGAAUUUUUAACUUUGAGCGAACGUGACUUGCUACAUUAAUUAGUACAACAAUUUGCAUUAUCUUCCGACUGCUGUAAAUCCCAGUAAAUCAUAAUACUUGCAUAACUGAAUUUUUCUUGCGUAAAACAAAUACUUGGCACAUUUAGGUUAGUCACAUAUGAGUGAAUUCGCAUAUUACGAACUCACAUAUAUCAAAUACCCAGUGUAGUUUUGUUUGUUGUUCUUUUUAUAAUUGACUAGUGAGAAUUUUUAACUAUUUCUGAGCGAACGUGACCAGCUACAUUAAUUAGUACAAGAAUUUGCAUUAUCUUCCAACUGCUGUAAAUCCCAGUAAAUCACAAUACUUGCAUAACAGUGAAUUUUUCUUGCGUAAAACAAAUACUUGGCACAUUUAGGUUAGUCACAUAUGAGUGAAUUCGCAUAUUACGAGCUCACAUAUAUCAAAUACCUGGUGUAGUUCUGUUAGUUGUACUUUUUAUAAUUGACUAGUGAGAAUUUUUAACUUUGAGCGAACGUGACUAGCUAUAUUAAUUAGUACAACAAUUUGCAUUAUCUUCCAACUGCUGUAAAUCCCAGUAAAUCACAAUACUUGCAUAACAGUGAAUUUUUCUUGCGUAAAACAAAUACUUGGCACAUUUAGGUAAAACAAAUACUUGGCACAUUUAGGUAAAACAAAUACUUGGCACAUUUAGGUAAAACAAAUACUUGGCACAUUUAGGUAAAACAAAUACUUGGCACAUUUAGGUAAAACAAAUACUUGGCACAUUUAGGUAAAACAAAUACUUGGCACAUUUAGGUAAAACAAAUACUUGGCACAUUUAGGUAAAACAAAUACUUGGCACAUUUAGGUAAAACAAAUACUUGGCACAUUUAGGUAAAACAAAUACUUGGCACAUUUAGGUAAAACAAAUACUUGGCACAUUUAGGUUAAUCACAUAUGAGCGAAUUCGCAUAUUACAAACUCACAUAUAUCAAAUACCCAAUGUACUUUCAUAAUUUGUGGGUACCAGAUAUCCAUAAACAAGACCAAUUAUCAGAAAAACUACAUUUAGAUAUCAACAGUGGUGAUUUUAAGAGGUAGCCUAAUGGAAUUUGCUGCGGGUUAGAUACAGUAAACAAGAGCACAUUGACCCUCGCCCAAGCAAUGAUGCCAAGCCCACAAAUCCGCCCUUGAAGGAUUAACCCGCGACCUUUUGUGAAACCAACUAUAGUAAUUUAUAUUUCUCCAGGAUAAAUUUCUCCCCUAAUGUUCAUCACCCGUGGGCAUGUUUAACCCGGUAGCAGCGAUGGGCCAAAUUUGUGGCUUUACCGUGUAGCAGCGACGGGCCAAAUUUGUGGCUUUACCGUGUAGCAGCGACGGGCCAAAUUUGUGGCUUUACCGUGUAGCAGCGACGGGCCAAAGUUGUGGCUU